GCCUAUCAUGCAGGCGAGGGAUUGGGUAACUAACACCGAUCGUACGGGUGCGUAACGCGUAUGCAACCUACCUAUCACAGGGGGAUAGCCUUUGGAAACAGGGAUUAAUACCGCAUAAAGCAGGGGCUUGGCAUCAAGAUACUGCUAAAGAUUUAUCGGUGAUAGAUGGGCAUGCGUCUGAUUAGUUAGAUGGUGAGGUAAUGGCUCACCAUGACGAUGAUCAGUAGGGGGCGUCAGAGCGUGGUCCCCCACACUGGCACUGAGAUACGGGCCAGACUCCUACGGGAGGCAGCAGUAGGGAAUAUUGGGCAAUGGAUGCAAGUCUGACCCAGCCAUGCCGCGUGGAGGAAGAAGGUCCUCUGGAUUGUAAACUCCUUUUGUCGGGGAAGAAGAGUUCUCUUGCGAGGGAAUGUGACGGUACCCGAUGAAUAAGCCACGGCUAACUACGUGCCAGCAGCCGCGGUAAUACGUAGGUGGCAAGCGUUGUCCGGAUUUAUUGGGUUUAAAGGGUGCGUAGGUGGUUUAUUAAGUCAGUGGUGAAAGCUGGUUGCUCAACAAUCAAGUUGCCAUUGAUACUGAUAGACUUGAGAGAAGUGGAGGUUCAUGGAAUGGAUGGUGUAGCGGUGAAAUGCAUA
rnacentral:rRNA from 1 species